rnacentral:miRNA from 1 species
AUUAUUAUUAUCAUCAUCAUCAUCAUCAUCAUCAUCAUCAUCAUCAUCAUCAUCGUUAUUAUUAUUAGUAGUAGUACUAGUAGUAGUAGUAGUGUUUGACUGAGA